rnacentral:rRNA from 1 species
GGAUUAGGCAUGCAAGUCGAACGAGAACGGCUCCUUUCGGGGGCCUAGUACAGUGGCGAACGGGUGAGUAACGCAUGGAUAACCUACCUCCGAGAGGGGGAUAACUGCUCGAAAGGGUAGCUAAUACCCCAUAAUGUGCGGUGCCUUAGGGUGCUGUACCAAAGAUAGCCUCUGAUUCAAGCCUUCGCUCGGAGAGGGGUUCAUGUCCUAUUAGCUAGUUGGUAGGGUAACGGCCUACCAAGGCGACGAUGGGUAGCCGGCCUGAGAGGGUGACCGGCCACACUGGGACUGAGACACUGCCCAGACUCCUACGGGAGGCUGCAGUCGAGAAUCUUCCGCAAUGCGCGCAAGCGUGACGGAGCGACGCCGCGUGGGCGACUAAGGCCUUCGGGUUGUAAAGCCCUGUUGUCUGUGAAGAAUGGCAGGUGGUGAAUAGCUAUCCUGUUUGACGUUAGCAGAUGAGGAAGCACCGGCUAAAUACGUGCCAGCAGCCGCGGUAAUACGUAUGGUGCGAACGUUGUUCGGAUUCACUGGGCAUAAAGAGCUCGUAGGCGGUUGGGUAAGUCCGAUGUGAAAUCCCUCGGCUUAACUGAGGAACUGCAUCGGAUACUGCUUGACUGGAGUGCAGGAGGGGAGAGUGGAAUUCCUGGUGGAGCGGUGAAAUGCGUAGAUAUCAGGAGGAACGCCGGUGGCGAAAGCGACUCUCUGGCCUGUAACUGACGCUGAGGAGCGAAAGCCAGGGGAGCAAACGGGAUUAGAUACCCCGGUAGUCCUGGCCCUAAACGAUGGGCACUAAGUAGAGGGGUUUU